rnacentral:rRNA from 1 species
GACGAACGCUGGCGGCGUGCUUAACACAUGCAAGUCGAACGGAAAGGCCUUUUCGGAGGUACUCGAGUGGCGCAAGGGUGAGUAACACGCGGGUGAUCUGCCCUGCACUCUGGGAUAAGCCUGGGAAACUGGGUCUAAUAUAGGAUAGGACCGCACUUUAGUGUGUGUGGUGGAAAGUUUUUUCGGUGUAGGAUGAGCCCGCGGCCUAUCCGCUUGUUGGUGGGGUAAUGGGCUACCAAGGCGGCGACGGGUAGCCGGACUGUGAGGUUGGUCGGCCACAUUGGGACUGAGAGGCGGCCCAGAUGCCGACGGGAGGGAGAAGUGGGGAAUAUUGCAGAAUGGGCGCAAGCCUGAUGCAGCGACGCCGCGUGUGGGAUGACGGCCUUCGGGUUGUAAAAGCCUUGCGGCAGGGACGAAGCGUUGUGUGACGGUACCUGGAGAAGAAGCACCGGCUAACUACGUG